GUGGGGAAUAUUGGACAAUGGGCGAAAGCCUGAUCCAGCCAUGCCGCGUGUGUGAAGAAGGUCUUCGGAUUGUAAAGCACUUUAAGUUGGGAGGAAGGGCAGUAAGUUAAUACCUUGCUGUUUUGACGUUACCGACAGAAUAAGCACCGGCUAACUACGUGCCAGCAGCCGCGGUAAUACGUAGGGUGCAAGCGUUAAUCGGAAUUACUGGGCGUAAAGCGCGCGUAGGUGGUUUUGUAAGUUGGAGGUGAAAUCCCCGGGCUCAACCUGGGAACUGCCUCCAAAACUGCAUGACUAGAGUACGGUAGAGGGUAGUGGAAUUUCCUGUGUAGCGGUGAAAUGCGUAGAUAUAGGAAGGAACACCAGUGGCGAAGGCGACUACCUGGACUGAUACUGACACUGAGGUGCGAAAGCGUGGGGAGCAAACAGGAUUAGAAACCCUGGUAGUCC
rnacentral:rRNA from 1 species